ACAGGUUUCGACGGGGAGGAACUCGGCAAAAGUUGCGGGCCGAGGUGCCGUUGGCCUCGUUAAACCGCGGCAAAAACACAACUGCCGACUAUGCGGCACUUCCCCUCGCUGCCUAAGGCGCAGCGACGUCCUGCCGGCUGAGCCGACGUGGCCGGACAGGGCGCCAACCCCGUCGGCAACUUCCCGCCUGAGGUCCGUAGGGCGGGGAGGUAACCUCACGGACUAAGCCCGGUCAAAGCCUGUCCGUGGGCGUGGACCGGGCGAAACUGAAAACACGGACUACGCCCGUAGGAUACUUUUGUCGAGACUCUCCGGACCCGGGU
rnacentral:tmRNA from 1 species